ensembl:lncRNA
AUAAUCCAGAUUUUUUUUUUUUUUUUUCUUGUAAACAGUGCUUGAUCUAUGCAUAUUUCUCUCCUGAUUAAGAUGAGAUGACCUUUUCACUGUAGAAAGCAAUGGAAACAAUGGUUUGAAGUGGAUUUGCUUCUGAUGGACCAGGAUCAUAUGCACUGCUUGUGGAUUAAUGUGAUAUUUUUCAUACUGACGGCACCCAUUCUCCAAAUCUUUUCCAAUGAAGAAACAAACUCAACUACCUUGUGGAUGGCUUUAGACUGAAAAAGACAUGAAGGAAGCAGUCAGCCCAGUCGUGUUUGUGGAGAGGUAUUCCUUCAGAAAUGGAGAAGAUAGAAAGCUGCGGAGGCAGACAUUUGCAGCAUGUUCGAGUGAGCAUGAAGACCACAAGUGUGUGUCGAACUUUUCAUGACCUGAUGGCAGUGUUUCCCAAUCCUGGUCCUGGAGAACCCC